GACGAACGCUGGCGGCGUGCUUAACACAUGCAAGUCGAACGGAGUGGCGAACGGGUGAGUAACACGUGGGUGACCUGCCCUCCACUUCGGGAUAAGCCUGGGAAACUGGGGCUCAUACCGGAAAGUGUGGGAUGGGCCCGGGGCCUCUCAGCUUGUUGGUGGGGUAAUGGCCUACCAAGGCGGCGAGGGGUAGCCGGCCUGGGAGGGUGGACGGCCACAUUGGGACUGAGACAGGGCCCAGAGGGAUACGGGAGGCAGCAGUGAGGACUAGUGCACACAGGGCGGAGGCAGGAUGGAGGGACGCCGCGUGGGGGAGGACGGCCUUCGGGUUGUAAACUCCGUUCAGCAUCGACGCGGUAGAUGGAGAAGAAGCACCGGCUAACUACGUGCCAGCAGCCGCGGUAAUUC
rnacentral:rRNA from 1 species